CCUACGAGAGGCAGCAGUGAGGAAUAUUGCACAAUGGGGGAAACCCUGAUGCAGCGACGCCGCGUGAGUGAAGAAGUAUUUCGGUAUGUCAAGCUCUAUCAGCAGGGAAGCAGAAAGACGGUACCUGACUAAGAAGCCCCGGCUAAAUACGUUCCAGCAGCCGCGGUAAUACGUAGGGGGCAAGCGUUAACCGGAUUUACUGGGUGGAAAGGGAGCGUAGACGGCCGUGCAAGUCUGAAGUGAAAGCCCAGGGCUCAACCCUGGGACUGCUUUGGAAACUGUGGAGCUGGAGUGCUGGAGAGGUAAGUGGAAUUCCUAGUGUAGCGGUGAAAUGCGUAGAUAUUAGGAGGAACACCAGUGGCGAAGGCGGCUUACUGGACAGUAACUGACGUUGAGGCUCGAAAGCGUGGGGAGCAAACAGGAUUAGAUACCCCAGUAGUC
rnacentral:rRNA from 1 species